rnacentral:rRNA from 1 species
UACGUAGGGUGCGAGCGUUAAUCGGAAUUACUGGGCGUAAAGCGUGCGCAGGCGAUUUUGUAAGCCAGAUGUGAAAUCCCCGGGCUUAACCUGGGAAUGGCAUUUGGGACUGCAAGGCUGGAGUUUGGCAGAGGAGACUGGAAUUCCUGGUGUAGCAGUGAAAUGCGUAGAUAUCAGGAGGAACACCGAUGGCGAAGGCAGGUCUCUGGGCUGAAACUGACGCUCAUGCACGAAAGCGUGGGGAGCAAACAGG